UACGUAGGGCGCAAGCGUUAUCCGGAAUUAUUGGGCGUAAAGAGCUCGUAGGCGGUUUGUCGCGUCUGCUGUGAAAGACCGGGGCUCAACCUCCGGUCUGCAGUGGGUACGGGCAGACUAGAGUGCAGUAGGGGAGACUGGAAUUCCUGGUGUAGCGGUGAAAUGCGCAGAUAUCAGGAGGAACACCGAUGGCGAAGGCAGGUCUCUGGGCUGUAACUGACGCUGAGGAGCGAAAGCAUGGGGAGCGAACAGG
rnacentral:rRNA from 1 species